UACGGAGGGUGCAAGCGUUGCUCGGAUUUAUUGGGCGUAAAGGGUAGGUAGGUGGUCUUAUUUGUCUAGGGUGAAAUCCUUGAGCUUAACUCGAGAAGUGCCCUAGAAACGGUAAGACUAGAGUCCUGGAGAGGGUCGUGGAAUUCCCGGUGUAGCGGUGAAAUGCGUAGAGAUCGGGAGGAACACCAGAGGCGAAGGCGGCGACCUGGACAGGUACUGACACUCAACUACGAAAGCGUGGGGAGCAAACAGG
rnacentral:rRNA from 1 species